rnacentral:hammerhead_ribozyme from 1 species
GUUGAGUCCCAAAUAGGACGAAACGCGCGUCCUGGAU